GGUAUGGAACACAAGUCUGUGAGGAGUGGCUGAGGGAACUGGGGUUGUUUAGUCUGGGGAAGAGGAGGCUCAGGAGAGACCUUACUGCUCUUUACAACUACUUGAAAGGAAGGUAUGGGGAGCUGGGGAUCGGCCUCUUCUCACAGAUAACUAGUGAUAGGACUAGAGGGAAUGGUUCUAGUUGUGCCAAAGGAGGUUUAGGUUGGAAAUUAGGAGAAACUUUUCAGAGAGAGCAGUUAGGAA